rnacentral:lncRNA from 1 species
AGCCAAAUUGAUGGUUCAAAGGGACUAAAUUGACACAAAUUGCAAAACAUGGGGACCCAAUGUAUACACUUUUAAAAGCGGGUACUAAACUGAAAAUUUCCUCUUAACAUGGCGACCAAUUAAGGAUUUAAGUCUUUAUCAAUUAAUAAAGUUAAUAUAGUCAACAUUUAUUUAUUGAGUUAAAAUACUAUUGUUUAAGUAAAUUUUAUUUUGAAAUUUAAAAUAGUUAUUUAAAGAAAUAAUGUCUAUCAAUAAAAUGUUUUGAGUAAUUCUCCUUACACCUUCGUGACCUAAUCUUACACCUCCCAAUUUUGGUUUAAUUCCACCUGUACCCCUAAGUCUACUCUGUCAAAGCCUAUGAAACAUUUUUUGGUUUUAUAAAAAGUUGGUUUGCUCUGCCUCAUCCCAGACCAAAACCAAACCAAACCAUACACCCCCUUUAUUAUUUCUUCUUUCUCCCUCUUGUUGUACUCCCCUUCAUCCUUUUCCUGCCUCUUUCUUACCACUUUUGUUGUCUUCCCCCUCAUCCCCUCC